CCCCGGGCCGCGCGCUCUCCCUGGCGGCCGCGGGGAGCCAAGACCCCAUGGGGGCGGGGCCAUUGACAGAGGGGGCGGGGCCAUUGACAGAGGGGGCGGGGCCAUCGAUAGAGGGGGCGGGGCCAAUGCGGGAGGGGCGGGGCCUCAGCAUUGCCCCUGGGGACACUGCUGCUGGGGGGGGGGGGGGCGGGGGGGGGGGGGGGGGGGGGUGCCAUGGGUGCCAUGGGUGCUAUGGGUGCCGUGGGUGCCGUGGGUGCUAUGGGUGCUGUGGGUGCUGGUGCCAUGGAGCCCCUUGGGGAGCUCAGGGCUGGGUCUUGGGGACCUUGGGGGGGGUGUAAAUGGCCAGGGGGGGCUGGACCAGGACCAUGCCAAGCUGUGCCAUGGCGUGCCAUGCGCUACCAUGGUGUGCCACACUGUGCCGUGCCAUACCAUGCUGUGCCAUGCCCUGCCGUGGCAUUUGGUGCCAUGUCAUGCUGUGCCAUGCUGUGCCAUGCCGUGCCAUGCCGUGCCAUUUGGUGCUGUGCCAUGCUGUGCCAUUUGGUGCUGUGCCAUGCUGUGCCAUGCCAUACUGUGCCAUGCUGUACCAUACUGUGCCAUGCCGUGCCAUGCUGUGCCAUUCGGUGCUGUGCCAUGCCAUGCCAUGCCAUGCCGUGCCAUUUAGUGCUGUGCCAUGCUGUGCCAUUUGGUGCAGUGCCAUGCUGUGCCAUGCCAUACUGUGCCAUGCUGUACCAUACUGUGCCAUGCUGUGCCAUGCCGUGCCAUGCCGUGCCAUUUGGUGCUGUGCCAUGCGGUGCCAUGCCAUGCUCUACCACGCCGUGCCACACUGUGCCAUGCCAUAUACCAUGCCGUGCCAUUCGGUGCCGUGCCGUGCCGUGCCAUGCCGUGCCGCACCACGGUGCCACAUGAAGCCCAAGGUCCCCAGUCAGGGCUGUCCCCCCCUGAUCCCUGGGACCCCCCCCAGGCCCGGCUGUGGCCGAGGGGCUUGGAGCCGGGCACCGAGCCGGGCACAGCGCCCACCCGGCUGCCUUCGGUGCACUGGCAGCGGGUGAGGGUGAUGCAAGGAA
rnacentral:lncRNA from 1 species